GACGAACGCUGGCGGCGUGCUUAACACAUGCAAGUCGAAGAUAGUGGCGAACGGGUGAGUAAUACGUGGGUACCCUGACCUCCUUUUUGGGAUAAGCCUUGGAAACGGGGUCUAAUACCGAAUAUAGGGGGAUGGGCUCGCGGCCAAUCAGCUUGUUGUUGGGGGACUGGCCUACCAAGGCGGUGACGGGUAGCCGGCCUGAUAGGCGGAACGGCGACAUUGGGACGGGGAUACGGCCCAGAGGACGACGGGAGGGAGCAGUGGGGGAGAUGGGACAAAGGGUGAUGGCCUGAUGCAGCGAGGCCGCGGCGGGGAUGAAGGCUGUCGGGUUGUAAACCUCGUGCGCUAUCGAACGGGUAGGUGGAGAAGAAGCGCCGGCUAACUACGUGCCAGCAGCCGCGGUAAUAC
rnacentral:rRNA from 1 species